rnacentral:tRNA from 1 species
AUCGCGGUGGCGCGGCGGGCGCGGGUGCGCUUGUAGCGCUCGCGUUCGAUGCGCCGUGGCGAGGGGACGUACGCGUCGCCCCCGCCGGAC